rnacentral:rRNA from 1 species
AUGAUUGAACCUGACCUGGUCAGGAAAGAGGGCGAGGAGGAAGGAGAGGGAGGAUUGGACUCUCACAUUGACCACAGAAGAGAGCAGGUUUGGGUCAAGGAUCAGGGGCUGUGCGGGCGCACAUCCACACUGGUGCUCUUCACACUUGCCUCGGGCAGCAGCUUCCUGGCUCUCACCCACGCCAUCACGUUUCGGUUGAGGCCGCCUUGCAAUAAGCCAAUACUCUAUCAAAAAGCCCAGACCCUGUUGCACAAAACAAUUGGUGCUUUUGGUAGCCACCCUUUGAUUCUCGGAUUAUUGAAUCGGUAA